AAGCCAGUGGUGAACUCCACAUACGCAUCCUUUGCUGAGGAUACGGUUAACGGAGCGAAAGCGACGUUCAACCUCAAAAGAAGCAGAGGGGGCUUAGUGGUGGGGUGACUGCGUACCUUUUGUAUAAUGGGUCAGCGACUUAUAUUCUGUAGCAAGGUUAACCGCAUAGGGGAGCCGGAGGGAAACCGAGUCUUAAUUGGGCGUUAAGUUGCAGGGUAUAGACCCGAAACCCGGUGAUCUAGCCAUGGGCAGGUUGAAGGUUGGGUAACACUAACUGGAGGACCGAACCGACUAAUGUUGAAAAAUUAGCGGAUGACCUGUGGCUGGGGGUGAAAGGCCAAUCAAACCGGGAGAUAGCUGGUUCUCCCCGAAAGCUAUUUAGGUAGCGCCUCGUGAAUUCAUCUCCGGGGGUAGAGCACUGUUUCGGCUAGGGGGCCAUCCCGGCUUACCAACCCGAUGCAAACUGCGAAUACCGGAGAAUGUUAUCACGGGAGACACACGGCGGGUGCUAACGUCCGUCGUGAAGAGGGAAACAACCCAGACCGCCAGCUAAGGUCCCAAAGUCAUGGUUAAGUGGGAAACGAUGUGGGAAGGCCCAGACAGCCAGGAUGUUGGCUUAGAAGCAGCCAUCAUUUAAAGAAAGCGUAAUAGCUCACUGGUCGAGUCGGCCUGCGCGGAAGAUGUAACGGGGCUAAACCAU
rnacentral:rRNA from 1 species